GGGGUUGUGGCUCAGUGGUAGAGCACCCACGUAGCAUGUGUGAGGCCCUGAGUUCUAUCCUCAGCACCA
rnacentral:tRNA from 1 species